rnacentral:rRNA from 1 species
AUGAUUAUCUUUGCCUGGAACUGCCGAGGCUUGGGGUUGGACUCGGCAGUUGGCGAGCUACGAGACCUGAUUAGGUCAUACAACCCAAAUGGGGUAUUUUUAUCAGAAACUAAAAAAAGAUCGGGAGUGAUGGAGAGACUCAAGUGGAGUUUGGGGUUCACAAAAGGGGUGGUGGUGGACUGCAAAGGUAAGAGUGGAGGAUUGGCGCUAUGGUGGAGAGAUCAUAUUGAGGUCACAGUUAAGCCAUGGUGCCAAUAUUACAUAGAUGUUACGAUCGCGUGUGAUGGAGCCUGCUUUAGAUUCACUGGAAUCUAUGGAGAGCCAUGUGUGGAUAAAAGAUCGAGGACGUGGGAUGCACUGCACUAUCUUCGUACCCAGGAUAACCUGCCAUGGCUGUGCGCGGGCGACUUCAAUGAGGCUCGAAGCCAGGAUGAACAACUAGGUGGUAAUCCGAGAAACAGAGGAUAG